UACGAAGGGGGCUAGCGUUGUUCGGAUUUACUGGGCGUAAAGGGCGCGUAGGCGGCGCACCAAGUCAGGCGUGAAAGCCCUGGGCUCAACCCGGGAAUUGCGCUUGAGACUGGUGUGCUUGAGUACGGGAGAGGAUAGUGGAAUUCCCAGUGUAGAGGUGAAAUUCGUAGAUAUUGGGAAGAACACCGGUGGCGAAGGCGGCUAUCUGGACCGUAACUGGCGCUGAGGCGCGAAAGCGUGGGGAGCAAACAGG
rnacentral:rRNA from 1 species